UACAGAGGUCUGCAAGCGUUGUUCGGAUUCAUUGGGCGUAAAGGGGUGCGUAGGCGGCGCGGUAAGUCGGGAUGUGAAAUCUUGGAAGCUUGAACUCCCGGAAAACUGCAUUGAUACUGCCGUGCUUGAGGACUGGAGAGGAGACUGGAAUUUACGGUGUAGCUGGAUGAAAUGCGCAGAUAUCGGGAAGAACACCCGUGGCGAAGGCGGUUCUCUGGGACGGUACUGACGCUGAGACGCGAAAGCGUGGGGAGCGAACAGG
rnacentral:rRNA from 1 species